rnacentral:rRNA from 1 species
AUUGAACGCUGGCGGCAGGCCUAACACAUGCAAGUCGAACGAGUGGCGGACGGGUGAGUAAUGUCUGGGAAAAUGCCUGAUCGCGCGGGAUAACUGGUGGAACACGUAGCUAAUACCGCCUACCCUCAGUUGUGCCCAGAUGGGUUUAGCUUGUUGGUGGGGUAACGGCUCACCAAGGCGACCAUCCCUAGCUGGUCUGAGAGGAUGACCGGCCACACGGGAACUGAGACACGGUCCAGACUCCUACGGGAGGCAGCAGUGGGUAAUAUUGCACAAUGGGCGCAAGCCUGAUGCAGCCAUGCCGCGUGUGUGAAGAAGGUCUUCGGGUUGUAAAGUACUUUCAUCGGUGAGGCGUUACCCGCAGAGGAAGCACCGGCUAACUCCGUGCCAGCAGCCGCGGUAAUAC